CCUACGGGGGGCAGCAGUGGGGAAUAUUGCACAAUGGGGGAAACCCUGAUGCAGCGACGCCGCGUGAGUGAAGAAGUAUUUCGGUAUGUAAAGCUCUAUCAGCAGGGAAGAAGAAAGACGGUACCUGACUAAGAAGCCCCGGCUAACUACGUGCCAGCAGCCGCGGUAAUACGUAGGGGGCAAGCGUUAUCCGGAUUUACUGGGUGUAAAGGGAGCGUAGACGGCUGUGCAAGUCUGAAGUGAAAGCCCGGGGCCCAACCCCGGGACUGCUCUUGGAACUGCAUGGCUGGAGUACAGGAG
rnacentral:rRNA from 1 species